UACAGAGGUCUCAAGCGUUGUUCGGAUUCAUUGGGCGUAAAGGGUGCGUAGGUGGCGUGGUAAGUCGGGGGUGAAAUUUCGGAGCUUAACUCCGAAACUGCAUUCGAUACUGCUGUGCUUGAGGACUGGAGAGGAGACUGGAAUUUACGGUGUAGCAGUGAAAUGCGUAGAGAUCGUAAGGAAGACCAGUGGCGAAGGCGGGUCUCUGGACAGUUCCUGACACUGAGGCACGAAGGCCAGGGGAGCAAACGGG
rnacentral:rRNA from 1 species